rnacentral:tRNA from 1 species
GUCUCUGUGGAGCAACAGGUCAGAGCAUUUGGCUGUUAACCGAAAGGUUGGUGGUUCAAACCCACCCAGAGACG